AAGUCGUAACAAGGUUUCCGUAGGUGAACCUGCGGAAGGAUCAUUAAUGAGGGGUUUUCGAACCCGGGGGGCUUCGGCCUCCGACUCUUCACCCCAUGUUUACCUACCUUUGUUGCUUUGGCGGGCCCUGGAGCACGCUUCGUUUCGGCUUCGGACUUCGCUGUCCGGGUCGGUUCGUGCCCGUCGAAGGCCUAUUCCACUUCGUAUAUUUGUGUCGUCCGAGCAGAACCAUAAUAGCAAAAACUUUCAACAACGGAUCUCUUGGUUCUGGCAUCGAUGAAGAACGCAGCGAAAUGCGAUAAGUAAUGUGAAUUGCAGAAUUCAGUGAAUCAUCGAAUCUUUGAACGCACAUUGCGCCCCUCGGUACUCCGGGGGGCAUGCCUGUCCGAGCGUCAUCGCAUCCCUCAAGCGUAGCUUGGUAUUGGGUCUUCGUCUCCGAGGCGAGCCCGAAAGUCAGUGGCGGCCCGGCGUACCUUCGAGCGAAGUAAAUCCUCUCCCGCUCUGGAAGCGUGCCCUAUGGCCGGCCAGAACGCCCCAUAUUUUUCAAUGAUUGACCUCGGAUCAGGUAAGGAUACCCGCUGAACUUAA
rnacentral:rRNA from 1 species